rnacentral:rRNA from 1 species
AACGAACGCUGGCGGCAUGCCUAACACAUGCAAGUCGAACGAGACCUUCGGGUCUAGUGGCGCACGGGUGCGUGACGCGUGGGAACCUGCCCUUAGGUUCGGAAUAACUCCCCGAAAGGGGUGCUAAUACCGGUUAAUGUCUUCGGACCAAAGAUUUAUCGCCUUUGGAUGGGCCCGCGUUGGAUUAGCUAGUUGGUAGGGUAAAAGCCUACCAAGGCGACGAUCCAUAGCUGGUCUGGGAGGAUGAUCAGCCACACUGGGACUGAGGCACGGCCCAGAACCCCACGGGGGGGAGGAGUAGGGAAUAUUAGGACAUGGGGCGAAACCCGGUACCGCCAAGCCGGGGGAGUGAUGAAGGCCUUAGGGUUGUAAAGCUCCUUUACCCGGGAUGAUAAUGACAGUACCGGGAGAAUAAGCUCCGGCUAACUCCGUG